AUCACUUCUUGGCCUUUUGCCUUAGAUCAAGUGU
rnacentral:snRNA from 1 species